UUUUUAAGUAAUGAGUUAUAUAUUAAUUAAAUGAUAAAAUAAACUAAAUUGACACUUUAACAAACAAUUUCUAGAGCUUUUAAUUUGCUCACAAACUGUGCAGGUCAACAAAACGUUCACUUUGUCCACAUUUCUUCCCCUGAAAAAGGAUCCAUGUGGCGCUUUUUAGAUAUUUUUUGCAUUGAUGGGUGUCCAUGGAGGGGCACUUUAUUGGGUUUUAUACUAAUAGAGCAUCUAAAGGGCGCUUCCCCAUAUUUCAUCCUUUACAAGAGCAGCUACCAGAGCAAUUUUUCAUGAAUAUUCCACUGAAAGAGCUCCAGACAGGGAUUUUUAUUAUUUUUUUAUUCAUCAUAAAAGCAUCUUAAAGGGCACUUUCGCGGUUCUUUUUAUUCCAGACAUGAGGGCAUCCCCCCUGAGUUCAGCAGCGUCUGUAUGUGUGUGUGACGUGACUGUAAAAUGUAAACAUGCACACAACAAGACUCGAUUCAGCUAGAACCAAACUAUAAGACUAUAACAGUAACAUUAAUUAAAUAUCACAGACAGGAGAAAACAUCCCAUUAUCAUUUUUAUACUUAGGUCAUGGCUGCUAUUAAUAAGUCAGCAAAUAAACACAACCACACUGAAGGUCACACACUUGACCUUGUCUUUCCCAAAGGUCCUCGCUGUAACAGAAUCAUUAACAAACCUUCCGUUUACGCUGAUGCGGAUAAUAUAUUUAUUAUUAAAGACGUCUCAAAGCACACUUUCCCCGUCCUUCCUUUUAUGAAGCUAUAAUGGACUAUCUCCGAGGUACUUUGUCUCAAAUUUUGAAUCAUACAGCUCUUGAAAAACCUUUUAAAACACACGGCCUGCCAAAAGCUCCUUGAAGAAAAGGGACAAAAUAAGGACAAAGAAAAUGGAGAGCAAAAAUAGAGAAAAACAGACUGCAAAUUGUCUUUGAGGACUAUUAAGUUACUCUUCACUGAUAGGUGGGGAAAUCUGCCAGACCACUUAACAUUUCUAAUGUGAUACAUAUUGAUGAGAAUGAUGCUUCAGCUCUGUUUUCUUCCACUGGUGCUGAAAAAGUAAAGCUGAGCAGAAUCGCCUGGUUGAGUUUUUCUGCCUCGUCACUCUCAGAGUCUUUGGCAUUUUCCUUUACAUUUAUCAGUCCUUAAACACGCCCGUACCCCUGUCUGUGCUCUGCUAAGUGUUUACUUCAAAUGCCGUCUUCAAUCUCGUCGAUUUCUCUGUCGUAGCCUUCAGCUGUAGUCUUUAACCUCUUUGGUUUUUUAUCUGCAGUUUUCUCUCUUGCAAACAAAAGAAAAGGAAGCAAACUGAUGUAAACAAACUGAUGUCAUUAACCGGACUUCUUUCUGCCCAUUGAGCCUGUGCUUGGAGCUGUAACCAUAGCAACAGUCCAUUCUUCAUAACAGCAGUCGGCUAUCAAGAAAUAACAGAUUGGUGGGUAACAAUUUACAAUAGAGUACAAUCACUGGGUAAAAAGUAAGUACUAGUUAACAGUAGGUAGUAAGAAACUCCCCAUCCUAGUAUUGGUACAAGGAAAAAGUAAAUAUGUACUGAUACUAAACAAGAUUAAUAAGUCAGCUGAUCGCAGACACAGCAGAAGAAAACAAAGAUGGCAGCCUCCGUCACACUAUUUCACUAAAUUUAAACAUUAAUGGUCACAGAUCACCUUUUUUUUUGAAUAAAUGGAUCCAUAAAGUCUCUAAAAAAAGCCCCUGACUGUAACUUUAUUUACCCUAAAAGGUUUUAUUGAUCAAUACAACAACCCCAUUUUUUCAAUAUUUCCAUUUUAUAUUCUGGUCAAUACCAAGCUUGUUUGUGAACCCUAAUUGGUUUAAGCCUUGCUUUGAAGGCAGUUGGGUAAUGAUUCAUUAUUGAGUAAUUACUCAGUAUGUCGCCUCACUUUACGAUAAUCAUUAGAUAGUGAGAAAGUAAUUUCAUUACAGAAGGACGACCCAAUGUGGCCCCACUUUGUUCUUAAUUUAAGACACUAUAAGGAGUGUUUAACUGGUUGCUAAACAGGUUUUAACUGAUACUGACGCCUGUUUCAGGGCCUAAAAGGCAAAUUAGACCAUCAGCAACAAGUCAGAUCAUUUCACAGAAGUUUUUUAAUGUUUAAAAACAGAAAUUGACAGCAAGCUAAAAAUCUUUUUUUCAGUAAAUACUCACACCAAAAGAUAUAUCUUGUUGUUAAAAGACAACAUUAUGACGUUUUUGUCUACAAACCUUGAAUUGUCAUAAAUGGGAUGAUGUAUAAGAAGUAUACCUUUGUCCACAGGGGGCGCCAAUAUCAACACAAACCAAAAGUUCCUUACAGCAGCUUUAAGUCAGAAUCAAUAAUUUUGUAUCUCAACAUUGACUCCCAGUAACAAUAUAAAUGUAAAUGUGUGUAUUCUUGCUGUGCAUUGACCAAUCAGAAUCAAGCACCAAACACAUUGUGUGUAUUGUCAUUUUGCACAGCACACACACACAUGCAUAGAAAUGAUAUGUGCACACACAGAGACCAUCAUGCCUUUACAUAUUGUGUGUAACUCCAAUCUUCUCCUGAAUGACUGUACUGUAUAGUGUUCUUGUGGCGUAUAUGAUUGCCUGUCAGUACCAACACACGUUUCUCACGGUCAUAUAGGCAGCUGGUCUGUUUGGGAUGAGCUCUCUAUACAAAGCUCUGACGCUCUCUUUAUCAUUCACACAUAAUUUCAUUAUUUUCAUAGCACCCAAAGUAUAAGCUGCUGAAUUUAUCAGAGCUGUCACAUGGCUUUCUUCUGCACAAAGCGUGUAUAAUGCGUGCACAGGGACACAGAACACGCCGAGUCAGAGCAGGAAAACUUCCACAAAACACAACACUUUUAUUCAUCUCAUGUCCUGUGAUUAUUUCCAGCAGCUCAGAGCGAGAAAAGCUUUGCUAUCUCAAAGGGAAGGGGAAAUAAGGAAAAGGUAAGGCACAGUGAAGCUUAAAUUGAGGCCAUUAUUGAGGGCAGUGAGGGAAUAGUCUGGGGCUGGACUAAAAAAGAGCAUAGGCAGACAGAGUUUUAGUUAGGUCAGAUGAACACUGAUGGCUCUUCUUAUAAAUCUCUGAACUGAAACAAAGGUACAGAACAUUGAAUUCUCGCUCUCACCUGCCAAUUUGACCAGACACCUGUCUCCUUUUUACUGGCAGAGUGCAGCCGUUUGAUAUAACUGUGUGUUUAAACCCUGACUUGAUAUUUCUCCCUCUCGGAUUCAACAUAAAGAAAAAACUUCUGAACGCUUUUGACGUUGAAAACGUCUAUUUUUUCCUGACAAUUGAAGCAGCUGCAGCUAAUUAUCUCUGAUAAUGGAAACAUGCAGAAAGAUUUGAGCUUCUCUAACAUGAGAAUCAUCAUCAGCUUGACAAUAAAGGUCAGGAUUGUGCAGCUGUGAGGAUGUUUAUGCAGAAAUACAAACUGUACUUCAGCCUGCUGAAUAAAUCUGCAGUGUGGAUCAUAAAGCCCGUCUCUUUAUGUUAACACACAGGGGAAAUAUGGGUUCAUUUUAAAAAAGUUUGAGAUCUACUGUAUAACUUGGAGCUUUGAACAACAUCCAGAUCUGAUUUGACUCGACAAAAGCAUCUGAGACACUCCUGCAGGGGCUCUGUGAUCCUGUAACUGGUUUUGUGACUUUUCAGUACAAAUGUUGGAUUUUAUAGAAAGAUCCGCCGCCAUGCUUACCAUCUUGAAACGGGGUUCCACAGGGCUCUGUACUGGGUCCCGUCCUUUUCACAAUCGACAGUAUUACAUCUGUAUUAUCAAACUGUAAUACUCGUCUUAAUGCUGAUGAUACCGUUUUGUAUCUUUUUGCGCUUAAAAAUGCGACGGCAAGCACUCCUAAUUUCUCCUAAAUGCAGAUUAAACUGAAUAUAUGAUACAGAGAUAGAUUAGAAAGCAGUCCACACAUUACAGCUCCUGCAGGUAGUCGUAUAAAAGGGGUCGCUCAAGUCAAGUAUCUUGGUAUCGGUUGGAUGAACCAGAAAGCUAAGACAGAAAAUAGGAUUUGUGUGCAGAAACAGAAAUAGAGCUGAUGUCCUUUUGGUUUGGAGGACGCAGAUAGUGGAAGCCAGUUUGUGUUUCUUGUCUGUUUUGGAUUAUUGAGACAUUAUCAAUAGAAAUACUUCUGCUUUCACUCUAAAAUCACUAGAGUCUAUGUGUCACUGUAACUCCACUCAUUAUUGCGGUUUUUAGGAUAAAGUUGUCUGUGCAUCUUAAACAGUUAGUUACAACAUGUACUUCCUGCUUUACUUGAACAGCACUCUUUUAGAAAAGGUGCCAUCACCGUAUCUCGCUCUACACAAAAACUCACAACGAUCCAGCAGCUGGCAGUCAUGCUGACGGGUCAGUCUGCAAACACCUCUAAACCUCUAAACUCUAAAAUAUAAAUGAGACUAUAAGAGAUAAGUUGGACUUUAGAUGUUUCUGUUGUUUGUCUGUUGACAAAACUCUAAGAAAACACGAUUUGUUCAGUGACGCAUGAGAGAAGGUCUGAUUGUUUUUCCUCACAGAUUCAGUGUCAGAAAGUGUUGCUGUAGCUUAGCUUGCUGCUUGUCUUUGCAGGUUUGCUUUAGUGUUAUAAAACUCAAUAUAAUGAAGAGUAACAAGUAACUUAGGCUUUGCUCACUACACUUUAAAAGUAGCUGAUUGUAUAGGAGUGAAUGUUAGCUAAUACUCUUUGUCUUUAACAGCAGAAGUGGUUGGUUUUGAGCAUGUGUGUGAAGAGAUAGAGAUGAGGGUGUCCUCAUCUUUUGGCAUCCCCAGUUCAACUCCACAAAGAGCAGUAACGGUCACCAUCUCCACCCCUCUGCAAUCAAACUGCAUGGAUUGGAUUUUAAGAUGCAUACAGCUGCAGAAAGCAGGACAUAAAAAGGACAAAAGGACAAGGGAUUGUGCUCUACUUUUCAAAUUAGGCCACAAACAGGAAGAGCACAGUAAUAUUUCACAAAUAUAUCCCUCCUCCGUGAUGUUAUUACACCCCAAACGAUAAUUCAAACAGAAACUGCAGUAUGGGAAAAUGUUGGGUCACUGUGAGGUUAAGCAAAGAGGAAAAAAUGGGCAUCGGCGAAUGGAAAUCACUCUUGUAAAUGUGCAUUGAGAGACGCAGAAUGCAUCUUUGUUAAAGAGUGCUGAGUCCCGGUCUAGUUGAUAUUUCUGUAUUUUCUGACAAAAGAAGUACCUUGUUGCCAGUAUAAUGUCUCUGUUGAUUAGCAGACGUCCUGCUGCCACGUGAUAAGAUCCUGGAGGAGAUAAUAAGCUGAAAAUGAGAAAAGGCACAUUUACGGCGUUUUUUUCCCCCCUCGAUAUCCGUGCGGUACUUUUCUUUUCAUAUUUUCACAAAUGCAGACCAUGAAUGCAAUCAAAUAAAAUCUGUCACUUGACAUUUUCUUUGUGCGGAGAGGAAAUAAUUAAACUGGAAGGCAGCUUUUUCCUGUGUUCCAGCUCUGAAUGAAUGCUCACGAGGCUCGACUCCUGCAUCUCUGUAUCUCUCUGUCUCACAUUAAAACACAUUAGCCCCCUCAUACAGCCCAGAGAGAGAGAGAGGAAGAGAGAGAGGGGCAGAGCAUGUGUACAAAUGAAUCAGUGCUGUUUGUUGUAGUGUUUCAGGCCCGGGCUGUUUCAAGUAGCUUAUUUGAGAGCGCUGCAGAUCAUGUUUAGUAAGCUGGCUCUCAUUAUAUCAGACCCUGGGGAGAGAAGGGCCCUCUCACUCCAUACUAUCAAAGCCACGGUGCUGCCUUAGAGGACAUGCUUCAGUAUGAAUACAGGCUCUAGAGUACAUACAAAAAGUAGCACGCUCAGCCCUCAUCACCUCUCUCUGCAGGAGGCUGCCAACGUUGGAGGUUUUGAUCAAGCCUCGCCGUAAUGGCUGUGGGUGACAGGUAUACGAGACCAUAGUUGUGGGAAUAAAUAGCUUGAUUAGCAUAAUGCAUCACCAACAAAUUCAGCUUUCAGAGCACGUGAAAGGACUACUUUUUUGCCUGAGUGCAGCAUUCAUGCAGCUUGUGGGAUCGUAUUUCAUAGGACAAACACACAAUUAUGUAAACAGGGUAUUUACCUCUGCACCGUUGGAAGGUAAUAUAAUUUACUUCCACUGUGAACCCAAUCCUCCCUCUCUGUGUCGUCUGUAUUUUGGGCUGCUUUGAAUAGACUCUGCAGCUCCCUUUGUCCACCAAAAGCAUAUUCCCCCCUUCUUUUCAGGAAUCAUAAUUCAGCUGAUACACACAGCGUUUACCUCCAGAAAUCCCAGCCAUAUUGAUCCGUGUGGAGCCGAGCGACGUGGCUAUAAACAGGCUAAUCUAACAUAAAAGCUGGCCUCUCAAUGCCCCAGCCUGUUGAAGCGAUUUAGCCGUGCCUGGUAGCAAUGAAUAAAUAAAUAGAUAAAUGAGACGCACAAUCUCGGGCUCGAUCCGGCGGCGCACACGACCGGCAGCUCAGAGAUUGGAGAUUAUUGGGAAUAAUAUCCUUUACGUUUUCAGGUCUUUAGCGCCGCAGGCUUCGGUAUGGGGAUGACGAAGCCCGGGCGGCUAUCAUCAGUCAAACUCCUGUCUCCUCCUCGCCUCCUUUUACACCUCACGUCUGACCUUUGUGACCUUUUGCCAUUCUCAGGUGUGAUUAAUCGCUUCUUCGACUGUCCACUAAUAAUCUAUGUGAUAAUUAUCCAGGGAAUGACCACUUUACCUGAAUACUAUCUACACCUCCAUCCCCUCUGCCUCCCUUCUUUCCAUUCUCCUCUCACCCCCCGCCUUGUUCCUGCCUGACUGGCUGCCAGUCGGCUGAUGUAAGAGUAAUAAGGAAAGUGGGGGGGCUUGGAUACCAUUACAUCUGUCAGGAUUACAGCAAGUCUUUAUAACCUUCAGAAGCCCUUGGCACGUACUCUCACAGCACUUACUGAGCAGUUUCUGCACAAUAUAUACAAAAGCGCACUGUGUUGUGCGCGUUAAAUGCUUUUUUAUAGAUACCGGGGCUGUACGUUUUCAUCAAGGUGCUCCAAUAACUCUGUUACUCUAUAUUUUAAUGCGUUUUUAUAUCAAAGCCUUGCCAAGCCGUACAAGUAAGGGCAGCUUUCUGUAUCUCCCAAGGAGGAUUAUUAUAGCCGCAAAACACGGGACUGUUUGGAAAUUUCAUGCAAAAAAAAAAUAAAGAAAGAGGAAGAAGCAAAAGUUGGAGUAAAGAAACAGAGCAGAAGUUUGUGAUCAGAGGUUUGUAUGCAGCUUGUGCUUCAGACUUGAAGCAGAUUAACCGCAACAUUAGCAUUUAAAAUAAGUCUGUUUGAAUGCUCAGUAAAGUUAAGAGUGAUAAAUUACUAAAGCACUGAGUUACAGCAAGUUAAAGAAUGCAAGAAGCAUUUCUGCACCGUUCUCCCUCACUUGACUCUCAAUUGUUCAUUGUCUUAAUCAUCCAUCAAUAGCAGAAUAGUAAAGUAAGCUUUCAGGGCUAAAUCAAUAUUGCGGCUACUUCUAACUUCUUCAAGUUAACAAGGUUUUUACAAAAGAAAAGAAAAAUUCCUGCUGAAAAAGCUGCAGACAGCAUCUCACCAGAACAUCUUUACACAGAUGCAUAAAACCAUCAGAAUUAUGAGGAAGUAGGAGAUGAAACUGGAGACUGUAAUGUACCAAACCAGAGCUGCAUGUGUGAUAAACUGAGAGUCAAAACAUGAAGACUGACAGGUGAGAUAAAUAACAUGGAUCAUUUUUUUAAGUUGCAACCACUGAUGUUAAAAUAUGGAUCAAAUGUGGAAGUAAACUUCACAGUAAAAUAAAACUGCAGUUCCCUUAGUGUCCACUAGUGGCUGUCUCAAAGAGUCCCGGAAGUCCCAUUAACAUCCAUGUUAAAAUCUCUUGAGCAGAAAUAAGCAUGUUUACGGUCUUUGCAGCUGACUUGAUUGUCAAGUGGUGUUUUUGUAGUUAGUCCAAAUUCGGAACCCAGGACUUUUAUAGAAUAUAGACAUAGAAUGAAGACAGUAGUCCUUUAGAACUGAGUUAGACCUCAAACUGCUGAAACAGUCCAUGUUGGUUCUGGUGGAAAGUUUUCUGAACACAUCACAGUUCUCUGUGAGGCUCUGUAGCUGCAGACUGGGCAGGGUCUCCAUGCUGGAUGAGCCCAUUAGCGUCAGAGCUGGACUGUGCUAAGGGUGGAUCAAGAUCAGGAAUCUAUGGACAACCAAGUAGGAUCAAUUCAGGUCCCAUCUUGCAAAAUCCAGAGUAUAGAGGGUCUGGUUUUGAUGUUUUGGCCCCUGAAACAUGGCACUGCUUCUGAGUCCACGUCUUGUCAAUCAAGGUUUCAGGCCUUGUUACAAUAAUCUGUGUUUUUUUAAUCUUAUUUACUCCACGUUUGACUCAGCCAGCCUCCGCUCUUUUGAUGUUUAUAGAGAUCUAAGCGAGUAUUUCUUACCCGAUAGUUCGUUGGUCAUGACUGGAAUAAAAAGUCGAACCCGUCUUUACUGAAAUGAUCGAUAUCUGCGGCUCUAAUGGAAACACGAUUACCUUUAGAGAGAACAUAUGGUUUAACUGUUGUACGAGGGAAAGAGCUUUGAGUUUCCCUCUGAGAGUUGUUGAAUUAAAAACCAUAUUUCUAAAUAAUUUCCUUUGAUGAAUUCUUUAAACCCACAGCUGUGUUUCCCUCCUCUCUUCGGCCAUUAUUAAUUCAUUGACAUUUUGCCGGGAUGGAAAUGAUCAGGAUGUUGUGUACGUGAUCGCCUGCAGUGAAGAACGAGUUGAUGUUUGAUAUGCUGGUUUUUCUGACUCUUUUCUUUUCCCUCGUGUGGUAUUUUUUGGAGACAUUUCUAUCUUGUUGAACCCGGCGCCGCUUUGAUGCAUGUUAACCAGAGAGCGAGGAAACAACACCAUCCCUCUCAGAUACCGGGGGGACCUUUUGGUUCUGUUCACAGACUUAUCUGCACUCAGAACAAUCAAUCUCAGAGAGCAUUAAGAGUGUUGAUCAGCGGUAAUCCACCGUCCUCCCUCCAGUCAGACCCGGUCUUUUCAUCCUUAAUUCCUAUUGAACUGUAAUUAAACCCUCAAUGAGACUUCCCUUUCUUUGGGCAAUCUGAUCCUACUGUGUGUUAGUAUGCGCCCCACUCUGCUCUGCUCUGCUCUUCCUUCCCCCAUUAGCCAAAAUUAUCAUCAGCCACAUAAAAAAUUCAUCUGUAAAAUAGAGAUAUUUAUUAUUCACUUCUAGUAUUUGAAGGAAAAUGUUGUAUCACCACUUUAAGUCUUCCUCGGUUUUGCACGGUCUGCUGUGUUUCCCUUCACUGACAAAAUAAUUAUAAUUAGAUCCCUAACCAAGCUCUUUAUUCCGAGCUCAAUUACGUUUCAUUUAAAUAAUGAAAAUGCUGAACUGUAAUACUUGUCACCUCUUGUAAAAUCAUGAAAAUACAGUAUUUUUAACAAGUGCAGCAGAACAAGUUUGGAUUCUGUAAUAACAAGUGGUCAGGAUUUUCAACACAGCUGGAGAUUUUAAGUCUGGGUAUUUUAUCUGUAGAAGUAGCUGAGAUACAAGUUUUGUUGAAAUCACACCAUAUUACUUCUCUGUCUCUAAGGCCCAGAUCUGUACUCCCUUCGUACAACAUUUUCUGUGUUUUGACAGGUCUAUCCCAAAGUUUUUACUGCGGUUGUAACCUUUGCUGUGAUUUUGUUUGGUUUCCAGUUAGUUUCUUUUUAUGAAAACAGAAAAUGAAUUUUCUUAUGGAGGUUUGAUUAAAAUUUUCAUGGGUACAGGUUUGUGUUUAUACAGGGUGAAUCUUUAGUCCGGCAGAAACUUGAUUUAAAUAUUAAAGCUCAAAUUUCUUCAUGUUUAAGACGAUUUGAAAUGAUUCAGUUGUAAAUGACACAAGUGAAGUUUAAAGUCUGUGAGGGCAGGAGUUGUUUUCUGUUUUUUCAUCCAUUCAUCCAUCCAUUUACCCGUCCAUCCAUCUAUCUGACUAUCAAUCCAUCAAACUGUUCAUACAAGAAUUGAUUCAUUUAUUCAUCCAUCCACCAAUCAUUUGUCCAUCCAUCAAUCCAACUAUCCAUCUGUCUAUAAAUCCAUCCAACAAACUGUCCAAACAUGAAUUAAUCCAUCAAUUCAUUCAUCCAUCAAGCCAUCCAUUAAUCCGCCUAAUUAUUUAUUCAUCCAUCCGUUCUUCUACUCAUCUAUUGAUUCAUCAUCCAUAACCCCAUCCAUCCAUCUAUUCAUGCUCUCAUCCAUUUAUCCAUCAGUCGAACCAUGUCUCCAUCCAUCCAUCAGUCAGUCCACCCAUCCUUCAAACUGUCUAUACAUGAAUUCUUACAUUCAUUCAUCCAUCACUCCUAAUAUUCAUCCAUCCACCAAUCAUUUGUUCAUCCAUCAAUCCAACUAUCCAUCUGUCCAUACAUCUAUCCACCAUACUGUCCAAACAUAAUUUCAUCCAUCGAUCCGUUCUUCUACUCAUCUAUUGAUUCAUCAUCCGUCCAUCCAUCUACCUAUUCAUACCCUCAUCCAUUCAUCCAUCAGUUGAACCAACCAUCCGUCAUCUACUUAUCCAUCCCUCCAUCUGACUAUACAUCCAUCCAUCCAUCCAUCCAACCUCUGACUCAUCCACUGAUUUAUCCAUCCAUACACCCAUCAAUUCAUCCGUUUAAACCCUUUUCCAUCCAUCCAUCCAUCCAUCGUUUGUCCAUGUCUUAUUCACUCUUUAUUUCACUCCUUAUUUCACUCAUUUCUAAAGGGGGUCUUCUAGACUCUGGUAGCAGACCGAUGCACAGAGAAGUCCCUUAUUGCAGGAUCAGUUCGCAGUCCUGGUCUUUGUACCAGAAAGCUUCAGUUUCCACCAUGCUCUCUGUAGAGAACCAGUUUCUCUUCAGCCGUCUGAGCUGACUAACUAACACCAACAAAUGUCACAUCUGCAGGUCGGAAAAGCAAUCACUGCAGGAGAACAAAAACGAAAAGUCACUCGAGGUCGCCUCGUCAGAUUUUUUUGUUUGUGCUUCAGAAAUCACACAGAUGCACAUGAAACAGAAACUAUUGUACGAGUCUUUUUGUGUCGUUCAUUUUCUGAAUAUUUCACUCAGUCUGAAAGUGUGUGUGUGUGUGUGCAUGUGUGUGUGGCGCUGACUCCUGCCACAUUCAAGUCCCCCGCCGUCUCCAGUGCAAUUAAUGAUCUCUCGUACAACAUUAGCGCCACAAUCAUGAAAAAUUGCGCCGCAGCGGAGUCCCCCAACAUAUUGAGCUCAAUUCAUCAAGGGCGUCACGCUCAUUGGCGAUGUCAAACUUGGUCUCAGCGUUAUUGAGUGCCUCAGUAAUCAAGUACCUGCCAUAAGCUCCGAGGACUGAUUGUCUUUUCGUACACACAGUUCACCAAGAGAGAUGAUUCACUAAAUGACUCAUCUCGUCUUCGGUUUUACAGCUUUUGGGAAAAACCAUUUGAGAGUAUUUAAAGCGUAGUUGUUAAUCCAUUGUUUUGUCUGGGAUUGAGCGUUUAACGUCUGUAAUUGAAGU